rnacentral:rRNA from 1 species
GGCGGCAGGCCUACCCAUGCAAGUCGAGCGGCAGCGACAACAUUGAACCUUCGGGGGAUUUGUUGGGCGGCGAGCGGCGGACGGGUGAGUAAUGCCUGGGAAAUUGCCCUGAUGUGGGGGAUAACCAUUGGAAACGAUGGCUAAUACCGCAUGAUAGCUUCGGCUCAAAGAGGGGGACCUUCGGGCCUCUCGCGUCAGGAUAUGCCCAGGUGGGAUUAGCUAGUUGGUGAGGUAAGGGCUCACCAAGGCGACGAUCCCUAGCUGGUCUGAGAGGAUGAUCAGCCACACUGGAACUGAGACACGGUCCAGACUCCUACGGGAGGCAGCAGUGGGGAAUAUUGCACAAUGGGCGCAAGCCUGAUGCAGCCAUGCCGCGUGUAUGAAGAAGGCCUUCGGGUUGUAAAGUACUUUCAGCAGUGAGGAAGGAGGUAUCGUUAAUAGCGGUAUCUUUUGACGUUAGCUGCAGAAGAAGCACCGGCUAACUCCGUGCCAGCAGCCGCGGUAAUACGGAGGGUGCGAGCGUUAAUCGGAAUUACUGGGCGUAAAGCGCAUGCAGGUGGUUUGUUAAGUCAGAUGUGAAAGCCCGGGGCUCAACCUCGGAAUUGCAUUUGAAACUGGCAGGCUAGAGUACUGUAGAGGGGGGUAGAAUUUCAGGUGUAGCGGUGAAAUGCGUAGAGAUCUGAAGGAAUACCGGUGGCGAAGGCGGCCCCCUGGACAGAUACUGACACUCAGAUGCGAAAGCGUGGGGAGCAAACAGGAUUAGAUACCCUGGUAGUCCACGCCGUAAACGAUGUCUACUUGGAGGUUGUGGCCUUGAGCCGUGGCUUUCGGAGCUAACGCGUUAAGUAGACCGCCUGGGGAGUACGGUCGCAAGAUUAAAACUCAAAUGAAUUGACGGGGGCCCGCACAAGCGGUGGAGCAUGUGUUUAAUUCGAUGCAACGCGAGAACCUUACCUACUCUUGACAUCCAGAAGAACUUAGCAGAGAUGCUUUGGUGCCUUCGGGACUUCUGAGACAGGUGCUGCAUGCUGUCGUCAGCCUCGUGUUGGGAAAUGUGGUAGUCCCGCAACGAGCGCAACCCUUAUC